AUUGAACGCUGGCGGCAGGCCUAACACAUGCAAGUCGAGCGGAUGAGUGGAGCUUGCUCCAUGAUUCAGCGGCGGACGGGUGAGUAAUGCCUAGGAAUCUGCCUGGUAGUGGGGGACAACGUUUCGAAAGGAACGCUAAUACCGCAUACGUCCUACGGGAGAAAGCAGGGGACCUUCGGGCCUUGCGCUAUCAGAUGAGCCUAGGUCGGAUUAGCUAGUAGGGGAGGUAAAGGCUCACCUAGGCGACGAUCCGUAACUGGUCUGAGAGGAUGAUCAGUCACACUGGAACUGAGACACGGUCCAGACUCCUACGGGAGGCAGCAGUGGGGAAUAUUGGACAAUGGGCGAAAGCCUGAUCCAGCCAUGCCGCGUGUGUGAAGAAGGUCUUCGGAUUGUAAAGCGCUUUAAGUUGGGAGGAAGGGCAGUAAGUUAAUACCUUGCUGUUUUGACGUUACCAACAGAAUAAGCACCGGCUAACUUCGUGCCAGCCGCCGCAGUAA
rnacentral:rRNA from 1 species